rnacentral:rRNA from 1 species
GAUUGUAGGCUGCAACUCGCCUACAUGAAGUCGGAAUCGCUAGUAAUCGCGGAUCAGCAUGCCGCGGUGAGUACGUUCCCGGGCCUUGUACACACCGCCCGUCACACCAUGAGAGUUUGUAACACCCAAAGCCGGUGGGGUAACCUUUUGGAGCCAGCCGUCUAAGGUGGGACAGAUGAUUGGGGUGAAGUCGUAACAAGGUACC